rnacentral:rRNA from 1 species
UAGCGGAACUCCUACGGGAGGCAGCAGUGGGGAAUAUUGGACAAUGGGGGGAACCCUGAUCCAGCCAUGCCGCGUGUGUGAAGAAGGCCUUAUGGUUGUAAAGCACUUUAAGCGAGGAGGAGGCUCUCUUGGUUAAUACCCAAGAUGGGUGGACGUUACUCGCAGAAUAAGCACCGGCUAACUCUGUGCCAGCAGCCGCGGUAAUACAGAGGGUGCGAGCGUUAAUCGGAUUUACUGGGCGUAAAGCGUGCGUAGGCGGCUUUUUAAGUCGGAUGUGAAAUCCCCGAGCUUAACUUGGGAAUUGCAUUCGAUACUGGGAAGCUAGAGUAUGGGAGAGGAUGGUAGAAUUCCAGGUGUAGCGGUGAAAUGCGUAGAGAUCUGGAGGAAUACCGAUGGCGAAGGCAGCCAUCUGGCCUAAUACUGACGCUGAGGUACGAAAGCAUGGGGAGCAAACAGGAUUAGAAACCCUUGUAGUCCACUUAUG